rnacentral:rRNA from 1 species
GAUGAACGCUAGCGGCAGGCUUAACACAUGCAAGUCGAGGGGUAACAGGGAGAAGCUUGCUUUUCCGCUGACGACCGGCGCACGGGUGAGUAACGCGUAUAGAACCUACCUUUUACAGGGGAAUAGCCCAGAGAAAUUUGGAUUAAUGCCCUAUAGUAUUAUUGAAUGGCAUCAUUUAGUAAUUAAACAUUUAUGGGUAAAAGAUGGCUAUGCGUUCUAUUAGCUAGAUGGUAAGGUAACGGCUUACCAUGGCAACGAUAGAUAGGGGUCCUGAGAGGGAGAUCCCCCACACUGGUACUGAGACACGGACCAGACUCCUACGGGAGGCAGCAGUGAGGAAUAUUGGACAAUGGAGGCAACUCUGAUCCAGCCAUGCCGCGUGCAGGAAGACGGCCCUAUGGGUUGUAAACUGCUUUUAUACGGGAAGAAACCCAACUACGUGUAGUUGGCUGACGGUACCGUAAGAAUAAGCACCGGCUAACUCCGUGCCAGCAGCCGCGGUAAUACGGAGGGUGCAAGCGUUAUCCGGAAUCAUUGGGUUUAAAGGGUCCGUAGGCGGGCUAAUAAGUCAGGGGUGAAAUCCAACAGCUUAACUGUUGAACUGCCUUUGAUACUGUUAGUCUUGAAUUAUAUGGAAGUAGAUAGAAUGUGUAGUGUAGCGGUGAAAUGCUUAGAGAUUACACAGAAUACCGAU